AUUGAACGCUGGCGGCGUGCUUAACACAUGCAAGUCGAUCGGUAACACGGUGUAGCAAUACAUGCUGACGAGAGGCGGACGGGUGAGUAAUGCUUGGGAAUCUGCCUAUUAGUGGGGGACAACCCGGGGAAACUCGGGCUAAUACCGCAUACGCUCUACGGAGGAAAGCCGGGGACCGCAAGGCCUGGCGCUAAUGAUGAGCCCAAGUCGGAUUAGCUAGUGUAGG
rnacentral:rRNA from 1 species